rnacentral:rRNA from 1 species
AUUGAACGCUGGCGGCAGGCCUAACACAUGCAAGUCGAACGAGUGGCGGACGGGUGAGUAAUGUCUGGGAAACUGCCUGAUGGAGGGGGAUAACUACUGGAAACGGUAGCUAAUACCGCAUACCAUCAGAUGUGCCCAGAUGGGUUUAGCUUGUGGGUGGGGUAACGGCUCACAAAGGCGACGAUCCCUAGCUGGUCGGAGAGGAUGACCAGCCACACUGGAACUGAGACACGGGCCAGACGCCUACGGGAGGCAGCAGUGGGGAAUAUGUGACAAUGGGCGCAAGCCGGAUGCAGCCAUGCCGCGUGUAUGAAGAAGGCCUUCGGUUUGUAAAGUACUUUCAGCGGGGAGGCGUUACCCGCAGAGGAAGCACCGGCUAACUCCGUGCCAGCAGCCGCGGUAAUAC